rnacentral:piRNA from 1 species
UCAUAAGGUGGAAGCCACUCGGACUAUAUC